rnacentral:rRNA from 1 species
CAGCAGCCACGGGAAUACGAAGGGGGCUAGCGUUGCUCGGAAUCACUGGGCGUAAAGGGUGCGUAGGCGGGUCUUUAAGUCAGGGGUGAAAUCCUGGAGCUCAACUCCAGAACUGCCUUUGAUACUGAAGAUCUUGAGUUCGGGAGAGGUGAGUGGAACUGCGAGUGUAGAGGUGAAAUUCGUAGAUAUUCGCAAGAACACCAGUGGCGAAGGCGGCUCACUGGCCCGAUACUGACGCUGAGGCACGAAAGCGUGGGGAGCAAACAGGAUUAGAUACCCCUGUAGUCCCUGUCUCUUAUAU